UGGGGAAUAUUGCACAAUGGGCGAAAGCCUGAUGCAGCAACGCCGCGUGAGGGAUGACGGCCUUCGGGUUGUAAACCUCUUUUAGUAGGGAAGAAGCGAAAGUGACGGUACCUGCAGAAAAAGCACCGGCUAACUACGUGCCAGCAGCCGCGGUAAUACGUAGGGUGCAAGCGUUGUCCGGAAUUAUUGGGCGUAAAGAGCUCGUAGGCGGCUUGUCGCGUCUGCCGUGAAAACCCCAGGCUCAACCUGGGGCGUGCGGUGGGUACGGGCAGGCUAGAGUGCGGUAGGGGAGAUUGGAAUUCCUGGUGUAGCGGUGGAAUGCGCAGAUAUCAGGAGGAACACCGAUGGCGAAGGCAGAUCUCUGGGCCGCUACUGACGCUGAGGAGCGAAAGCAUGGGGAGCGAACA
rnacentral:rRNA from 1 species